rnacentral:rRNA from 1 species
GAUGAACGCUGGAGGCGUGCCUAAUACAUGCAAGUCGAGCGAACAGAUGAGGAGCUUGCUCCUCUGACGUUAGCGGCGGACGGGUGAGUAACACGUGGAUAACCUACCUAUAAGACUGGGAUAACUUCGGGAAACCGGAGCUAAUACCGGAUAAUAUAUUGAACCGCAUGGUUCAAUAGUGAAAGACGGUUUUGCUGUCACUUAUAGAUGGAUCCGCGCCGCAUUAGCUAGUUGGUAAGGUAACGGCUUACCAAGGCAACGAUGCGUAGCCGACCUGAGAGGGUGAUCGGCCACACUGGAACUGAGACACGGUCCAGACUCCUACGGGAGGCAGCAGUAGGGAAUCUUCCACAAUGGGCGAAAGCCUGACGCAGCAACGCCGCGUGAGUGAUGAAGGUCUUCGGAUCGUAAAACUCUGUUAUUAGGGAAGAACAAAUGUAUAAGUAACUAUUCACGUCUUGACGGUACCUAAUCAGAAAGCCACGGCUAACUACGUG